UAUUGUGAGACCUCGGGCUACAACACAGGACAUGGGAGCUUUUCUGAACCCUCGUGUCUUGUGUUGCAGCCAGAGGGGCACAUCUUU
rnacentral:pre_miRNA from 1 species